UCAUCGUCUUCCUCCCGAGUUUCCAAUAUUCCUUCUCCCAACAAAAAUGAAGCAAUUUCAUUUCACGCUCGAUCCAUAAACCUAACAGCGGAUUGAAAACCAGACGACGAACUUCUCUUCUCUUCUCGCCAUGUCCAUGUCUUCUCUCUCCGCCAGGCUCACCCUUCUAGCUCUUCUCUCUGCCUCCACUUUCUAUUUCUUCUACAAGUCCCGCCGUCUCAGAAAGCUUAAACUCUCCUUAAACCCUACUGUCUGUUCACGUAGGGCCAAACUUUUUUUCAUCUCCGAAACUGGCACCUCAAAGGCCCUAGCUCAUCGCCUGCUCAACGUUUUGAACUCGAACGAGUUGGCGUUUGAUCUUGUUGAUCCUGAAGACUACGAGCCGGAAGAUCUUUUUAAGGAGAGUUUAGUUUUGUUAGUUGCUUCUACCUGGGAAGAUGGAGGGCCGCCUCCCCAUGCUAAAUUCUUCGCGAAUUGGCUCUCCGAGAGCGCGGAGGAUUUCAGAGUCGGUUCCUUGUUGCUUUCUGAGUGUAAAUUUGGAGUGUUUGGCGUUGGGAGUCGGGCGUAUGGGGAUACGUUCAAUGCGGUUGCGAGGGGUUUCUCCAAGCAGAUGAGGGCAUUGGGUGCGAAGGAGAUAUUGCCGGUUGGGGAAGGAGACGUUGACGGAGGUGAUAUAGAUAAGUGUUUUGAUGAUUGGAGUCAGCAAGUGCUGAAGGUUUUGAAGGUUGAUGCGGUGGGGAGUGGUACGGAUUUAUAUUCUGCGAUUGCUGGGGACAGCGAUGCUGAAAGUGUUGAGGAUGAUGAAGAAGAUGCCGACCUUGGGGCGGAGGACAUUGUUGAUCUUGAGGAUAUUGCGGGAAAGGCUCCUUCGAGAAAGUCGACGAAUGUAGUUGAAACUAAUGGGAAAUUGAAUGGGAAAAAAGAGAUGGUGACCCCGGUGAUUCGAGCGAGCUUAGAAAAGCAGGGAUAUAAAAUUAUUGGCACACAUAGCGGCGUGAAAAUAUGUAGAUGGACAAAGUCUCAGCUUCGAGGACGAGGGGGUUGCUAUAAACAUUCAUUUUAUGGCAUAGAAAGUCAUCGAUGCAUGGAGGCAACUCCUAGUUUGGCCUGUGCCAACAAAUGUGUUUUCUGCUGGAGGCAUCACACAAAUCCUGUUGGAAAGAGUUGGCAGUGGGAGAUGGAUGAUCCAUUGGAUAUUGUGAAUUCUGCAAUAGAUUUACACACAAAAAUGAUCAAGCAAAUGAAAGGGGUUCCUGGUGUUACACAGGAGAAAUUGGCAGAAGGCCUGUCUCCAAGACAUUGUGCCUUAUCACUUGUUGGUGAACCCAUUAUGUACCCAGAGAUCAAUACACUCGUUGAUGAACUGCACAGAAGGCGGAUUUCAACAUUUCUAGUAACAAAUGCUCAGUUUCCCGAUAAAAUAAAAUCGCUGAAGCCAGUCACCCAGUUGUAUGUAAGCGUAGAUGCUGCGACAAAGGAGAGCCUGAAGGCAAUUGAUAGGCCACUUUUUGGGGACUUCUGGGAGCGAUUCAUUGAUUCCUUGAAAGCUCUUAAUGACAAGCAACAGCGAACAGUUUAUCGACUGACAUUGGUGAAAGGGUGGAACAUUGAAGAUAUUGAUGCAUAUUCAAAUCUCUUCAGCAUUGGUAGACCUGAUUUUGUUGAAAUCAAAGGCGUCACAUAUUGUGGAUCAUCUAAUACUUCAAAGUUAACGAUGGAGAAUGUUCCUUGGCAUUCUGAUGUGAAGUCCUUUUCUGAGGCCUUGGCUGCAAAAAGCCAAGGGCAGUAUGAAGUUGCUUGUGAGCAUGUGCAUUCAUGUUGUGUUCUUUUGGCUAAAACUGACAAAUUUAGGGUCAAUGGCCAGUGGUUCACUUGGAUAGAUUAUGAGAAGUUUCAUGACCUGGUGGCCUCUGGAAAACCUUUUGAUAGCAAGGACUACAUGGCUCCAACGCCAUCAUGGGCUGUAUAUGGCUCUGAUGAAGGUGGAUUUGAUCCUGAUCAAUCUCGGUAUCGGAAGGAACGACAUCAUAGACCAAAACCCAUGUCUUCAUAGUUUUGAAUGUCCUGGGCUGGGGGGUUGCUAACUUUCAAGAAUCUUUCCAAAGUCACGUCGCCGUCCAGUUAAAGGUUGUCUAGCGGAAGAUGAAUAAUUUUCAACUUCAGAAAGCUGGGACGGGCACAAUGGCUGGACCCAUCAGUAGCUAUAUAGUUAGUACGUGAGGAUGGCAACGGGCCCUGCCAUGUUGCCAUCCGACUCUAUCCUAAAAUAAUGAUUGAACCUUCAAUAUUUACUUGAUUCAACCUUCAGAAUCAAAGAGAUUCUUCCCAAUCUGACCUUGUCAUUUGCAACUCUAAUGGAUCGAUCGGGCUGGGUGGAAUGAGUACCUGUAUUGGUUGGAACUUGGAAGUCGAGUCUUCAGUGCUAUGGCUGUUGGUAAAGAACCCGAAGCCGGGGUAAAUGAUGGAGAGACAAGAUCCUCAUCUGCUGGUCAUUGUCGCCAGGUAAAUUUCUGUGGUCAUAUGUGAUUGAUUAGAGUUUGACUGGUGGAUUGGAUUGAGCUGUAAUGGAAUAUGGUUUCUUCUAUUACUUUGACGUUUGUUUUUAGGGAAUCUAGACAUUAAGAACCAAAAGAUCAAGGAUGUCCAUGAAUUUUGAUAUAAUAUGUGAAAUUUACAUGGGUU